ACUUAAAUAAUUUAAUAUAAAAUAUUGAUUUGUGGUAUCAAAUAUGUGAAAUUUUCAUUUUAGGUU
rnacentral:tRNA from 1 species